CGACCGGCGUACGGGUGAGUAACACGUAUCCAACCUGCCGUCUACUCUUGGCCAGCCUUCUGAAAGGAAGAUUAAUCCAGGAUGGGAUCAUGAGUUCACAUGUCCGCAUGAUUAAAGGUAUUUUCCGGUAGACGAUGGGGAUGCGUUCCAUUAGAUAGUAGGCGGGGUAACGGCCCACCUAGUCAACGAUGGAUAGGGGUUCUGAGAGGAAGGUCCCCCACAUUGGAACUGAGACACGGUCCAA
rnacentral:rRNA from 1 species